UUUUGCCCAAUGAGCGAAAGCUUGAGGCAGCAACUCCGCGUGAGGGACGAAGGCCUUCGGGUUGUAAACCUCUUUUCUCAGGGAAGAUACAAGACGGUACCUGAGGAAUAAGCCACGGCUAACUACGUGCCAGCAGCCGCGGUAAUACGUAGGUGGCAAGCGUUGUCCGGAUUUACUGGGCGUAAAGAGCGCGCAGGCGGCUGGGUCAGUCCGAUGUGAAAUCUUCCGGCUUAACUGGAAAACUGCAUCGGAAACUGCUCAGCUUGAAGAUGGGAGAGGGUAGCGGAAUUCCCGGUGUAGUGGUGAAAUGCGUAGAUAUCGGGAGGAACACCAGUGGCGAAGGCGGCUACCUGGCCCAUUCUUGACGCUGAGGCGCGAAAGCUAGGGGAGCAAACG
rnacentral:rRNA from 1 species